rnacentral:tRNA from 1 species
AAUGGACAUUGCUCCUCCUUAGA